CGGAAAAAAGUUCGGACAUUUUAUCCGAGUCGAGCUCGAGCCAAAAAUUUCAACUUGCGAGCCGGCUCGGCUCGUUUACAUCUCUAGUCAUAGGUUACAAAUUAACUAAAUAGUUGGUCACAAACUUCUAAAAACUCCAUCCCUCAGUCACAAAUUAUCAAACUUUUAGGUCGCAACUAUAAUUGGUUACAAAUUAACAAAAUAAUUGGUCAUAGACACCUAACACUACAUACGUAGCGUUUUUCGAAAAAAGUAGUUUCUUUUCUCUACCUCCACCACUAACCUUCCACAACAGCAACCGCAACACCACUGUAACAAAAUUGUGAGUCACCAUAAGCUCACUAAUACCACUAUGACGCCACUAACAUAGGAAUCGCCAAAGUCACCACCUCAAUCCCACAUAUAACAGAGACCACAACCACAACCACAACCACCCACGCAACAAAAAUAACCCCCACUCCACCAUCGGCACCAACCGAGCUACAUGUCAUCUCACCAUCCAACACCAUCCGCAUCAAUUGAACCACCACUGUCGCACCACAACCACCUACACAAAACACCACCAUCGCCAUCACCAUAUGUAAAUACACCACCACCAC
rnacentral:lncRNA from 1 species